rnacentral:tRNA from 1 species
GUCGAUUUAGCUCAGUCGGCAGAGGACAAGACUUUAAAUCUUGGAGCCGCGUUUCGAGUCCCGCGUUUGACU